rnacentral:rRNA from 1 species
AUUGAACGCUGGCGGCAUGCCUUACACAUGCAAGUCGAACGGCAGCAUGGAGAGCUUGCUCUCUGAUGGCGAGUGGCGAACGGGUGAGUAAUGCAUCGGAACGUACCGUGUAAUGGGGGAUAACGUAGCGAAAGUUACGCUAAUACCGCAUACGACCUGAGGGUGAAAGCAGGGGAUCGGCAGACCUUGCGUUAUACGAGCGGCCGAUGGCAGAUUAGCUAGUUGGUGAGGUAAAGGCGCACCAAGGCGACGAUCUGUAGCGGGUCUGGGAGGAUGAUCCGCCACACUGGGACUGAGACACGGCCCAGACUCCUACGGGAGGCAGCAGUGGGGAAUUUUGGACAAUGGGGGCAACCCUGAUCCAGCCAUGCCGCGUGAGUGAAGAAGGCCUUCGGGUUGUAAAGCUCUUUCGGCCGGGAAGAAAUCGCACAGGCUAAUACUCUGUGUGGAUGACGGUACCGGCAUAAGAAGCACCGGCUAACUACGUGCCAGCCGCCGCCGUAA